UGUAUUUGAAUUAAAUGUAAUUAAAAUAAAUUUUAAUUCGACACUCGUAAGGCUAAUUAAAAGUAUGUGUAUUCUACACAAUAAAAGUGAGGCUAGAUAAAGCUACAUUUAUCCAUAUUUUAUUGUGUCAAAACAAAGUGAUGAAUACAGAGCUUUCUAAUGUGACUAUUCACAAGCCAGUAAAGGACAGCUAUUUAUAUCAGAUCCAUUAAUAAACCCAGUCAACUACUGCUUUAUGCUUUAAUAAGGAGAAAAGCAAAAACUGAUAAUCGAUUAUUAUUGCUGCAAAUUCAAAAGUUAAUAUCAGAAUUUAUCAAUAAAAGCACCUGGCAGCAAGGCACAACUGUUCUCAGUUUAUUAGUUGUUGCAUUUGUUUUUUCUGAUGUCUUUUUAAACUUACUCAGAAAAGAAAACAAAUCUUAAUCAACAACAUUGUUGCAUUGUAGUCUAGGUUUGAGCAAUUAAACAUUGAUCCAGUCUAACCUUUAAUCACAAUUUUAAACAGUAGCUAUUCUCCUUCUGAUGGGAAUUCUGUAAAAGUACUUUUUAAAAUUCCCAUAAACAAAAACAUUAAGGAGGACCAGGAUUAAGAUAGCUACAUUAAAAAUACAGCCAGAAAAUCAUGAAUGUUCUCUUUUGCAUCUUAGAAUGCCUGUGCAUUUGAUCUGACACAAAAUUUAAAUACUUGAAAACUUUGAAUUUGGAAUAUUUAGCUUCUCACAUUUAGCAGAACUAAUGUGCUCAAUUUUUAGAAAGAGUAAAUUAAUUGUUAUUUUUACCUUUUGUUUAAAAUAAAAAACUUGAAAGAACGAUAACAAAAUCUCUGCUGUGUUUACAGGUUGGCAUCUCUAAAGCUGAAUACAUGGAUGGUGCUGUCCAAAAGUUACUUCUGGAUAUUUUGUUUCAGAGGUUGAGAAAAGAGGGGGUACCACAGCCAGAAUUCAUAUCGACAUGGAGACAGAGAAUGGUACAAUGAAAGACAUUCAAAGAUUUUUGCGUCUUGAUGACAGCUAUCCUGAAAACUACUUCAUUGUGGGAUCCAGCACCCACAGCCAGCACAUCAACAGCCAGUACUGGAUGAACCUUUUUCAAAAACUGAAGAAUACAGAUUACUUUACUGGUGACUUCUUGGAUAAGCAGCCAAUUCUACUCACCUGUUUAAAUAUCACUGAGGAAGAACUCUUAAAGUGGUUCACUUAUGGAACAUAAUUCGUAAGAUUAGAGAUACUAUUGCUCCAAGUUGCCGGUCCUACAUGAUGUAUACCCUUCCACGGCUUUUUGGUGAACAAGACAAUCUCAAACAGGUUUCUGAGCAAGCGGCGGAAACUUGCACAGUCCAACGUCUUCAGAGGACCAUUCACACGUGAUGAGACAGUUCGAAGGAUCAUACCUUCUGAUGACAGAGAACUUUCUUCAUGCACCGUCCACACAUGAUGAAACAAUUGAGUUAUGCUUAUUUUUAAGAGCUAAUAUACGCACAAACCUGUGACACGUGUGAUAUUUUCUUGUAAAAAAAAGAGUUUGUGGAGCAAAUGACCUUGUGAGCCUGUUCAGAAUGAACCUGUCACUUUCCCACACAGUCAGAAAUAGGCAGCUGCAGACCCCACAACCCAUAAAGGACAGGCAGUCAAAGAAAUACAGAUGGAAGGGGAAAAAAACAGACCUCUGUUUUCUUCGAUUCCCAUGUACUUAAAGGUUUCAUCAUGAUGUACAUAACUUUUUGAAUUUUGCUGCUAGGUUUUAUAUUUUCUGUGAUUCUUGUUGUGUUUGACAGUAAAUAUAUGCUGCUACAUAUAUUAGGACAAUAACAAGAAAUCUAACUUCACAUUUGCCUUGUGAUCUAUCAUGCAGGACACAAAAUGUUUAAAUGACAUGUUCUGUAAACCCCACCACUGCUCCUCAUAUUCAAGACAUAGUUUUUAUAUUUAUAACAGCAAGAGUUAUAGUUCUCUGUUACUGAACACUGAGACCCAAGUUAUGUACUGUUUCACAAUGACGAUAUGGUCGAAUGAUAUAUGAAAACCUUUAAUGAAUCUUUGGUAAAAACCCAUUACAAAAUGAAGUGUUAUGGUUUGUGAUCAAACCAACUCAUUCUUUCCUUAGAAACAUAACAUUAUACUGCAAUGUUACAUCAACUCACAGAAGAACAUACAUUAAAAGUACCUUUAACAAGU